GAUGAACGCUGGCGGCGUGCCUAAUACAUGCGAGUCGAGCGAACAGACGAGGAGCUUGCUCCUCUGACGUUAGCGGCGGACGGGUGAGUAACACGUGGAUAACCUACCUAUAGGACUGGGAUAACUUCGGGAAACCGGAGCUAACACCGGAUAAUAUAUUGAACCGCAUGGUUCAAUAGUGAAAGACGGUUUUGCUGUCACUUAUAGAUGGAUCCGCGCCGCAUUAGCUAGUUGGUAAGGUAACGGCUUACCAAGGCAACGAUGCGUAGCCGACCUGAGAGGGUGAUCGGCCACACUGGAACUGAGACACGGUCCAGACUCCUACGGGAGGCAGCAGUAGGGAAUCUUCCGCAAUGGGCGAAAGCCUGACGGAGCAACGCCGCGUGAGUGAUGAAGGUCUUCGGAUCGUAAAACUCUGUUAUUAGGGAAGAACAAAUGUGUAAGUAACUAUGCACGUCUUGACGGUACCUAAUCAGAAAGCCACGGCUAACUACGUG
rnacentral:rRNA from 1 species